GUGCUUGCUUCAGCAGCACAUAUACUAAAAUUGGAACAAUACAGGGAAAAUUAGCAUGACUCCUGCAUAAGGAUGACACAGAUUCAUGAAGCAUUCCAAAAAGAA